AGCGAACGCUGGCGGCAGGCUUAACACAUGCGAGUCGAGCGGGCCCUUCGGGGUCAGCGGCGGACGGGUGAGUAACGCGUGGGAACGUGCCUUCUGGUUCGGAAUAACUCAGGGAAACUUGAGCUAAUACCGGAUACGCCCUUUUGGGGAAAGGUUUACUGCCGGAAGAUCGGCCCGCGUCUGAUUAGCUAGUUGGUGGGGUAACGGCCUACCAAGGCGACGAUCAGUAGCUGGUCUGAGAGGAUGAUCAGCCACACUGGGACUGAGACACGGCCCAGACUCCUACGGGAGGCAGCAGUGGGGAAUAUUGGACAAUGGGCGCAAGCCUGAUCCAGCCAUGCCGCGUGAGUGAUGAAGGCCUUAGGGUUGUAAAGCUCUUUUAUCCGGGACGAUAAUGACGGUACCGGAGGAAUAAGCCCCGGCUAACUUCGUG
rnacentral:rRNA from 1 species